rfam:Schistosoma mattheei strain Denwood, Zambia genome assembly, scaffold: SMTD_scaffold0008001
AUCCAGCUGACGAGUCUUAAAUAGGAUGAAAAGCGAGUCCUAGAU